rnacentral:lncRNA from 1 species
AUAGUUUGCAAGGUUACAUUUUAAUGAUUUUAAUUUGCUUUGCUUUCAGGCAAUGGUUCUGGGCACUUUGGCGGAGCACUCCCUGCCAUUCACAAUGGCCCCUGUCAUCGUCAACCUUGCUCGGAUGCUGGCCGAGGACAAAGUGGCUCUAAGUCGCAUGAAGCUGUCGCGAACAUCAGCGCAAUAUAAAAUGGUUCACGGCCUGGGGAAGACAUUCUCCGACCGCAUCCUCAGCAACACUGGGAAGUUACCAUUCUCCGUCAAUCUUGAUGAGGCCACCUCAAGGAGUGACAAAAAGGUCCUGUACUUUGGGUUCAUGGAUAAAGAAGACAAGGCUCUCUACAAAGAACCUUGGGAACAACUUUAUGCUGCUCACCAUGUGAGUGAAAAGGCCCAGAGACACAUUCAGUCUUUUCACAAGGACCUCAGCGGGAAAGGUAAAUCAAUCCAUUGCGGUUAUAGAUUGGCUGGAUAAUGUGGACAAAUUAAUGGAA